AUGGACAGUGAAUAUGAUGGAACUUGGAAUGUCACUGAAACAUCUUUCUUUUUAGUUGUCCAAUCUGAGGUCCUGUUGGUGGAGUCUGGAGGAGAUGUGAGAAGACCUGGAGAGUCCCUCCAUCUCUCCUGCGAAGCCUCUGGAUUCACCUUCAGCAGCUAUGACAUGCACUGGGUUGAUUCCACUCCAUUCAUUAGACUGGGAGCCAAAAUGAUUCUGUGGCCAAAGUUGGUCUUCUUACUGGCAUUUCUUGGAGGUGUCCAGUCAGAGGCCCAGUUGGUGGAGUCUGGAGGGGAUGUGAGAAAACCUGGAGAGUCCCUCAGUCUCUCCUGCCAAGCCUCUGGAUUCACCUUCAGCAGUUCCUGGAUGAGCUGGGUGAGACAGGCACCAGGGAAAGGACUGGAAUGGGUUUCCCAUAUAAAUCCAAGUUCAUCUGCUAUUUACUACUCAGACAAAGUAAAAGGGUGCUUCACCAUCUCCAGGGACGAUGCCAAAAGCCAGCUGUAUCUGCAAAUGAACAGCCUCAAAGCUGAAGACACGGCUGUCUAUUACUGUGCAAGAGACACAGUGAGAGGAAGUGAAUCUAAAGCUAAACAAAAACCUUCCUGUCUUCAGAGCAGCUCAGCCACUUGA